GGAAAAAUGGGCAGUCUAUACAUGCAGUCGGACGGGAUUGCAGUGCAGCUUGCUGUACUGCAUGAGAGUGGCGCACGGGUGCGUAACGCGUGAGCAACCUGCCCAUAUCAGGGGGAUAGCCCGGAGAAAUCCGGAUUAACACCGCAUAACACAGUAUUUCCGCAUGGAUGUGCUGUUAAAUAUUUAUAGGAUAUGGAUGGGCUCGCGUGACAUUAGCUAGUUGGCGGGGUAACGGCCCACCAAGGCGACGAUGUCUAGGGGCUCUGAGAGGAGAAUCCCCCACACUGGUACUGAGACACGGACCAGACUCCUACGGGAGGCAGCAGUAAGGAAUAUUGGUCAAUGGGCGCAAGCCUGAACCAGCCAUGCCGCGUGCAGGAUGACUGCCCUAUGGGUUGUAAACUGCUUUUAUCCGGGAAUAACCCCCUCUACGUGUAGAGGGCUGAAUGUACCGGAAGAAUAAGGAUCGGCUAACUCCGUGCCAGCAGCCGCGGUAAUACGGAGGAUCCGAGCGUUAUCCGGAUUUAUUGGGUUUAAAGGGUGCGUAGGCGGCCUGUUAAGUCAGGAGUGAAAGACGGCAGCUCAACUGUCGCAGUGCUCUUGAUACUGACGGGCUUGAAUGCCGUUGAAGAUGGCGGAAUGAGACAAGUAGCGGUGAAAUGCAUAGAUAUGUCUCAGACCCCGAUUGCGAAGGCAGCUGUCUAAGCGGUAAUUGACGCUGAUGCACGAAAGCGUGGGGAUCGAACAGGAUUAGAUACCCUGGUAGUCCACGCCCCUAAACGAUGAUGACUCGAUGUUAGCGAUAUACAGUUAGCGUCCAAGCGAAAGCGUUAAGUCAUCCACCUGGGGGAGUACGCCCCGGCAAGGGUGAAACUCAAGGAAUGACGGGGGCCCGCCACAGCGGAGGGAGCAUGUGGUUAAUUCGAUGAAUACGCGAGAACUACUCGGCUGAAGUACUGAGCAUCCGAGACGAUGCGUCUCGGGACAGAAACUAGUGCUGCAUGGCUGUCGUCAGCUCUGCCGUGAAGGUGUUGGGCUAAGUUCCCGCACCGAGCGCAACCUAUGUUUAGUGGCAGCAUGCUAAUUGUGGGAACUCUACCAACUGCUGCAGCCAGUUUAGAAAGACGGAACGAGACCCUCCA
rnacentral:rRNA from 1 species